UGGGCGUUAUAAUCUCCUACGACAACAAACGGUUCUGAAAGUGGGGGAGUCAGCUCCUCGAGUUCUUGUAGUGUCAAUUGUUCGUUGAGGGAAAUGUAAAUGGUGCAAAUGGUUAUGGUUUCGUGCACUAUACAGUCGAACCCCGCUACAACGAACGCCGCUUCAACGAAACUCCUGCUACAACGAAAAAUUCACGGUUCCCCUGGUUCAUCUGGUUGCUAGGAGAUGAUAUCGCAUUGCGUUGGCCAGAGCGCAGGGACAUCGUCAGCUGACCGAGCCGGAAAGCGAUACAUCUGAUUGCAUGGGCUAAAAAGCUGCGAUGCCCUCGAUAAAACGGGAAGGAACCAGGCAUCAGCUUCCACAGGUUGCCCAAAGAUUCCCAUCGAAGGAGGCUAUGAAUCGAGGCCAUUGGACUCAGCCAACGCAACUGGGAACCAACGAAAUGGUCUUUUAUGUGCUCAAAACACUUCCCACCUGAGCACUUCAAUGGAACGGUGUCAGUGGCAGUUCCCUUUUGCGAGGAUGCCGUUCCUACUGCCGUGAGAAACGGCAACGAGACGCGCGCUGCAGAUUCAAAUGCCCAACCUUUAAUGGAGAGACAUGCAAAUCGACUGCAUGGUUAUAUACACCGGUAUAUUGCCCAGGUGAAUGUACAGGAAAUGGAACAAAGUUUUAUUGAGUGCAAGCAUUGCUUUUGAGCAUUUCAAAUAAACUUCCAGUUACGUGCCUCAAGCCUAUUGAGCUAAAUGCAAGAAACUGUGCAACUCGAAA